GACGAACGCUGGCGGCGUGCCUAAUACAUGCAAGUCGAGCGGACGGAUGGGAGCUUGCUCCCAGACCGUCAGCGGCGGACGGGUGAGUAACACGUGGGCAACCUGCCUGUAAGACUGGGAUAACUCCGGGAAACCGGGGCUAAUACCGGAUAACUCUUUCCCUCACAUGAGGGAAAGCUGAAAGAUGGCAUCUCGCUAUCACUUACAGAUGGGCCCGCGGCGCAUUAGCUAGUUGGUGAGGUAACGGCUCACCAAGGCGACGAUGCGUAGCCGACCUGAGAGGGUGAUCGGCCACACUGGGACUGAGAUACGGCCCAGACUCCUACGGGAGGCAGCAGUAGGGAAUCUUCCGCAAUGGACGAAAGUCUGACGGAGCAACGCCGCGUGAGUGAUGAAGGUUUUCGGAUCGUAAAACUCUGUUGUCAGGGAAGAACAAGUACCGGAGUAACUGCCGGUACCUUGACGGUACCUGACCAGAAAGCCACGGCUAACUACGUG
rnacentral:rRNA from 1 species